GACGUAGGGCGCGAGCGUUGUCCGGAUUUAUUGGGCGUAAAGAGCUCGUAGGCGGCUUGUCGCGUCGACUGUGAAAUCCCGCGGCUCAACCGCGGGUCUGCAGUCGAUACGGGCAGGCUAGAGUUCGGUAGGGGAGACUGGAAUUCCUGGUGUAGCGGUGAAAUGCGCAGAUAUCAGGAGGAACACCGAUGGCGAAGGCAGGUCUCUGGGCCGAUAUUGACGCUGAGGAGCGAAAGCGUGGGGAGCGAACAGG
rnacentral:rRNA from 1 species